rnacentral:rRNA from 1 species
AUGCCCCCUCCAGCGCCGCCAGGAGCCCCGAUCCCCAUCUCCCUCCGCUCGAUCUCCUCCUCACCCUCUCGCUCUCCUAGCGCGCGCCCCCUUCGCCUGCCUGCUCCCUCCUGCUUCUUCGACCUCGCCUCGCCCCGCGACCCCGCCGCCGCUCCGGCCGGCGAGCCCAUGCUCCGGUGCCGCGCCGCUGCACCCUUGUUGCUCGCGACCGCCAUGGAUGCCUGCAGGACGACGCCGCCGUCCUCGUGCUGCAACGCUGCCGGCAAGCCCUGCCUCUGUCACCUCCUUCCCCGCGCGUGA